CCUACGGGUGGCAGCAGUGAGGAAUAUUGGUCAAUGGACGCAAGUCUGAACCAGCCAUGCCGCGUGCAGGAAGACGGCCCUAUGAGUUGUAAACCGCUUUUGUAUGAGGGUAAACGCAGAUACGCGUAUCUGUCUGAAAGUAUCGUACGAAUAAGCAUCGGCUAACUCCGUGCCAGCAGCCGCGGUAAUACGGAGGAUGCAAGCGUUAUCCGGAUUUAUUGGGUUUAAAGGGUGCGUAGGCGGCCGGAUAAGUUAGUGGUAAAAUCCCGGGGCUCAACUUCCGAAAUGCCUCUGAUACUGUUCGGCUAGAGAGUAGUCGCGGUAGGCGGAAUGUGUGAAGUAGCGGUGAAAUGCUUAGAGAUCAUACAGAACACCGAUAGCGAAGGCAGCUUACCAGACUGCUUCUGACGUUGAGGCACGAGAGCAUGGGGAGCGAACAGGAUUAGAUACCCGAGUAGUC
rnacentral:rRNA from 1 species